GGCCCGUUGGUUUCUGGGGGUUGUAGUCAUUCUCCGUUGAGAAAGGGCCUUUGGCGACCCAAACUCUGGAACGGGAAAUUUUGGGAUACUCAGUCACCACAGAAGAGAGCCGGCCAAUCCCCAGCCUGCGGCGCGGUGACGUCUCCGGUAGCUGGGGCCCACCUUUCCUGUGCGGGCGAAGGCCUCGGCCACCUUGCGGUUCCGCCCUCCGUAGCAGGUAGUGAUGAGAUCAGCAACACCGCAGCUCUCCAAGAAGGUGGCAGGGGACACAGGGCCACUGCAGAAGAGCUUGGUGAAAGCGAUCAUCUCCAUGAGCCCCAGUCGGAUCACGGCCGCCUUGGUGUUGUCGCCAAAGCCCAGCCCAUCACAGAAGCCAGCCCCCACGGCCACUAUAUUCUUUGAAGAGUGAAGUCACGGGUCUGUCCAGGAUCCAGAGUUCUGGCCAUCAAUCCGUCUGGGUGUCCUGGACGUCUUAUCUCCCAUUAGCCUGAGUGCUCCCCCUGGGCAUCUCCUCUUCCCCCUGGACCAACCUUUGCAGCCAGGGACAGGGAUGUCCCACAAGGGGCUAUAGGGGAAAGGAAGAAGGAAGCCCAAUGUCUGAUGGUCCUCCCCUAUUCCAGUGCAGCCAAAGCUAGCUGUGAGGAGAGCAGAUAACAUGUGAAAACGAAUCCAUCUGAAAACUCUCCUUCCACAACCUACUUCUCCAAGGUGGCCCUUGAGCUGAUCACAGAUCUUGCCGAUGAACUGAUGGGGUACCACGAAGAUCAGGAUGUCAGCAUCCACUGCAGCCUGGACCACAUCUGGGACAGCCACCUGUGGGGGUGACCAGUGUUCAUGGGCCUGACGGACUGCUUCUAGCCCCUGUGGAGCCCCAUGCAGGAGAUCUAGGAGACAGGGUGAGGCUGGUGGGGAAGAAGGAGGGCAGUUUGGGGGUUGAAUCUGGAAGGGCUGAACCUGGAGGAACAAGACACUUCUAUUCCUUCCGCCUAGCCAUCAUUCCCUCUAGGUUCCAGCUGUCCUGGGUUCUUGAGGACUCCUGGAAACUUCCUCUCAGCACUCUCCUAGCCCUUGGCUGUGGGAUAGUGAGGGAGGCCAAAGGAGGUCUGGGCUUGGCAAGAGGAAGAGGCCAAGUAAGAUUUCAUCACCCUGCUCCUUAGGGCUCCCAACUGGGAAGGGAGAGCCCCAGUCUUCCUGCUGUCUUUCCUGCUCCCCCUUUCCAGGUGGGGAGUAAGCCACAUGGAUCUGACCAAAGACCUUAAGUCCAAGGAGCAGUCUCCACAUCUACUAAUAACCCAGUGAAUGAGUAACAGGGUUAGAGCCCGAGGCAGGCACUACCCAGACUCCAAGUCUGGGGGCCAGAGAACCUGUCUUUGGUUGCCACAGAGACCAACUUCCUCAUCCUCUCCCCGUCCCUCUCCUGCCUGGAAGCCCGUGGGGUGGGGUGGAGAUGCAGGGGGAUGCAUUCAGGUUCUCCCCAGUCCCAGGAAGUGCUCAGGGGAGCAGUUUGGGGGCUGUGCCCAGGGACGCCCUGUGCCUGGAGUAGCCCUCCUGAGAUGCUUCUCAAGUACAGGUGGCACGUGAAGUGGCCCCCUCCCAGCAGGAAGCACCCCCUCCACUUCCCUCUCCCUUCUUAUGGGGCAUUGGGGCUCACCACAUUGGGGGGCAACUUGUGCCCUGGCAGGUAUUUGACAUUCUCAUGCUGUGUGUUGAUGACCUCUGUCAGCUUUCUGCCCCCGACGUCUUCCUCAAACACCCACAUGGUCACCCGUGGGUCAAAGCGUGCCAGCUGGGCUGCGUUGCCACCCACAAUCUUGGCGAUGGCUGAGCCCCUGGCAGGAGGGGGAGCACAGAAAGUGGAGGAGCGGGGGCGUGAGAGAGGAACAGUGGCGGGAGGGGAUAGUGCUCCCCCUCAGGAUGUCACAGAAGCCACUGGAUUAUUUACCUGCCACCUUCCUUGUCACCCCCUCCCCGUGACGCUGCGUCUCUCCUGACCUAGCAGUAGAAAGGAGACUCAGUUUCCUUUCCCUCACACUUUGCUGCUGGAGAAGGGGGCCAGCCUCUUGAUCUCCCCCCCCACCCCCUAACCCAGGCAGCCUUUCAGGCAGGGAGCACUCUGGAGGCUCCCUUCCCGUGGCGAACAGGUGCUGCUGCCCGAGACGCAAGGGCCAGGAGCGGUCUGGGCAUUGUCUGUCCUGCCGGGGUAGGCAGAGAAGACAGCAACAGGGGUGGGCCAGGAGCUGGAGGCAUUUGCUCCCCACCGACUGCCUCCUGCCCACCAAACCUCCCUCCCUAACCUCCUGUAUACUUGAGGGAGCCUCCCCCUCCCCCCCCCCCCAGUACUCCUUGACAGAGCCGCUUACCAGUUACCAGAGCCUACAAUGCACACUUUCUUGCCGGCCAUAGUGCCGCUUCGCUGCCUGGGCCACCAGCUGGGUGCCACUCUCCCCAGCUCCUCUGCCGGCUGGGAGCAUAUAACUCCAACACACGUGGGUGCCGCCAAGCCCCGCCCUCCAGGGGAGGGGAGGCGGGCGCCCAGGGAGACAGAGUCUGGCAGGGCCAGGGAAAGGGAAGAAAAGGGUAGAGACAGGUGGGGAUCAGGAAUGGGGCCGAGACCAGGCCUGCUUUUCCUCUUAGGUUUGCCCGCUGACGGUGCUGGCACGCUGCUUCCCUCGGCCCCAGCCCAGGUCCUCAACCCCUCCCUCUCCGCAAUGGUUUCAUUUUAAGUUCUGCCAAGACCGGGCCCAGAUAAGGAGCGAGUGCCCGGUCCCCCCCCACUCCCGUCCCCUAGCACUGGAAUAAAUUGUAUUCAGUCCCAGCAGCAGAUCCAGGCAUGCCUUCUUUUCCAAGGUAGGAACCGCCCCACUUGUCCCCCCCAGGACCCGGAAAGCUGCUCUAUGGGUUCAUCCUCUGGCGAUGACGGGUCACGUGUUGCCCCACUGCAGGGCUGUGGGUGAGUGAGGUGGGUGGGUGUGGCUCCUUUAAAUAAGAGCACAUAAGAGGUAAGGACCUGCUCUGGGGGCAACCCAGCCCAAGGAUAAGACCCCAAGGGCCCAAGAAACAAAGCACACCAGUGGGCCUCUCCUCACCUGAAUGUUUCCCAGGAAGGGGGGCAGGAAAGCCCAAAGUUGGAGGCUCUGAUGCCAAGUGGCCCACAGGUGUUUUGCAGACUCUGGGCUUGAGGAGGAGGAUAGGAGAGAAAAGAAGGCAGCCCAAGUGUUCACUGUCCUUGAGAGGUACUGAGCUUCCUUCACUUCUUUCUUGGGUUUCCAGGCUAACCCCACACUAGGGGCGCCUUCAGGUUAGUGGCUAGUUUGCAGAAGCCAGAAGGGAAGGGAGGCAGGACCUGGGGCAGUUGUGACCUCUGUAGAGCUUUGUGGUCUCAGAUGCUGUAAUCAAGAGCAAGUGGGGUGUGCGCUUCUGGGGGGAGGGAGGAUGGAAGGGACGCACAGUGCAGUUCAGGGCUCUGCAUCGCCCACAGCAACCUGUUUAACUACGAGGGGGAACUCUAGUUUCUAGGCUGAUGUGGAGAGUGGGGCAAAGGCCCCUUACACUCCAACUGUCUGUGCACCUUGGCCUGGAAAGCAGAUAGCACUGUGUGCUCACGUGCUGACCUCCUGGCCGGGCCAACUGCUGAGUGGGUGUUUCCAUCCCCCUGGGCUGCUGCUGGCUGCAAACAGUGAUAAGCACUGGGCCAGAGGGGAGUUUGUGUGCAAUCACUGGGUAAGGGUUAAGUGGCCCUGAGGUCAAGACUGGGGAGAAAUGGUUUCCUAACUUCUAAGGACUGCCUGGUAAAAAGCCCACCAUACUCUACUCCCAUGGCCAGGGAGUUCCCUUAGGGGAACAUACGUGAAAUCAGCAGUUGAUUGUUUCUCUUAGGAACAAAAUUAUGCCUACUACAGAGCCAGCCCCCCCAACGACCACUGUUAUUGCACUGGCACUGCGACAAAGGCACCAGUGCCAGGCUGCCGGCUGGGACCACUGAUUAUGGGUGAUGGAAGAGAAAGAAUGCUUCUGUCCCUGGCACACAGGAUGAGAACCCCAAAGAACGGAUGUUUGUGCAUAAAAUAACCUCUUGUGUUUGCCUAAAUGCUUCCAUCUUUUUGUCCCUACGAUCAUUUAAAGUAGUAUGGAGACAAAGAAUUUGUUCAUUUAUAUAGGAAUAAAGAGUGUGCAGAGAUUCAGAACUGGCCUGUCACAGGCCAAUUAUCUGUACCACUAGGGCUCUUUUCCCAAGAGCAAACUGCAGAUUUGCUUGAAAUUAAUAAUGGUUCAUCAGCCAUUCAUUACACAUGUAAUUAGCCUGGGUGAAAACAGAUGCCAUUUCAAUGUCCUUGACAUCAAUUGUUUCCACUCCCAAGUUAUCAUCACCCACACACACUCUUCUGCUUUCCCCACUCAAGUCUGAUAAACUCCCACAUUCCAGAUUGGGAAUAGUGGUUGUAUCCUUGGUGGGUUUGACUGCAUAUACGCAAUACUUGAGUGUUCACAUGCAUGGAGGCAAAAGUUAAUUUUUUAACUACAACUUUGGAAUGUAGUUGCCUUCACCCUGUGUUCUAAACCCCCUUCUUGAGUAGAACCAAGCUAGAUAAUGGCACAAAGGAGGAAAGUAAAGAACUACCAGGUGGGAAGCAGGCAUAUGAUGGAAACUGCAGCAGAAUUUCAUGCUUCUGCUAAUGGGACCCAAUCCUGAGCAAAGUCUUCUCAACUCUACCAGUGAAGGCUCGGUUGUCCAUAGCACGAGGAUGACAGUGCAGCACUUCCACGCCAGUCUCAGGAACUAAAAUCUUACUCGGGGUUGAGAAAGUGGAACCUUAAAGAAUGGCAGGCACACAGACCACAAACGUCUUCAGUCCUCACACAGCGCUGGCCCGCAGGAAGACAGGAGCCCUGGGAAUCCUAGAGGAGGCUCAAGUUCAUCAAGUGUAAGGGACCACAGGUACCCAAGGACAGCACCCUCGAGCCAGCAGGUGCCCUGGGGAGUUCAGAAGGACAAGGGAGAGAAUGGCAGUGCCACUGUCUUGUUAGAAUCUUCCUUAACGGGAACUGAGGACAGGACUCUCAGAUCCAGUGAUGAAGCCCACUACUCCCAACCAGCACCUGGCCUGCUUGGAGCACUGGGGCUGACAGAACAAGCUCUAAGGUGAGAACCUGAGGUCCCCAGGGUAGAAAUCUUGUUUUUCACCAUAUCCCCAGUGCCUAGAACCACAGCUGGCAUACAGCAGGUGCUCAACAAAUAUCUGUCAAAUAAAAUGAACAAACACCAUGAGCAUGGCUAAUGGUAUCGAAGAAGAAAGCUCAGGGAAGAGCUCUCCAUCAGUAGGUAGGGGGACCCAUCCUUCAGAAGAUUCUUUUAUUAAAACUGGGUGACAUCGAUAAGGAGACAGUACAAAAAAAAUUUUGGUCCAUGAAAAAAACAUAGUAAUUCAAUUAAUAAAAAGUUAUCUUCAGGGACACUGUGGAGGAGUGCUGAGCUUCCUUCUCAUGGUUCCAGCCCCAGGGACAGAGGCUGUCUGUCCAGUGUCACUCUGGGGAGAACCUUUCAAGGGAGGGAUGGGAUAAUGACAGAAGGGGAAGACAGCGAGGAAGUUCUGCUGUUCCCAGUGUGGGACAGUCAGGGAUACAGGGCUGGGGCAUGUGCUCGCAGAAGCCUGAGGAGGGGGUGGGGAAGCAGGGGCUUUGUCAGUUCUGCGGGUUUAGAGCCCAUGCUGAACGGAAUUCCCCCUCUGUGCCCAGCUGUCUCCCACCCUGCUGUGUUGAGUCUGCGAGCCUGGGACAUGCUAACUCAGGGGUGAUACAACCUGGAAGAAGAAUUUGAGGCUCUCCUGGAAAGAUGCAAAACCAUCUCAGUUGCAAGGGGCCCAGAUCACAAGGUCCUGCUGCUACCUGAGGGGUCUGAAGCUUUUGAGGGCAGGGGCUGGGUAGUCACAAUCCUGUGAGGCAGGGAGAGGGAAGAGUCACAAACCCAACUCAGAGCUAUUCUCCAGCCCUAGGCGCUUUCACUCCUCAGUGCCCUAGAAGUCACCAGUGGGUGUCAACUGGGCAGACAAGGGACAGGAAGACAGGGAUGGCCCAGGGCUUUUACCCGUUUGAUUUUAGGCCUGUUUCUCCAUGAAAGGAUGGGGGAGGCAGGGUGGAAUGAAUGAAUGAGUCACACCUCCAAGCAACAGCAGGAAAGAACAGCCUCUGCCAGCAAUGACAGUACCCUAGGUGAGGGCCCUUGGGGCUCUGACAGGGAAAGGCAAGAUUCCCCCACUCAAAUGCCCUGGGUUAGGACAGGUAGGAGGGAAUCCUAAGAAGCAGCUACAGGGAGUGUGGUGAGAGGGAGCAAUACUAAGAGAACAAACUCCAAUACUGAUGUGGACCCCCUACGAGGGAGUAAGAGAAGCACUGAGUCAGCAGGCCAAUCCAGAGGGCUGCGGACUGACCUGGGGCUCAGUGGAGCCCAAGAACCAGGAUUCCUCUAGUGCUAGAGGGCAACAAGUGAAGGGACAGUUUGCUCCAAACCUGUGGAGGGAAGGUAGGAAACUGGAUUCUAUUAUCAGGAAAGCCGAGAUCAACUAGCUUAUAGAGUGCCCCCAGGCCUGAGUCUCGGAGAAGGGGCUAAAGCUCCCACCUCCUGGGUCUCCGAAGGGCAGGAUCAGUGUAGCUGGUCCCCUUGAAGACCACUUGGCCUUAGGCCCAAUCCAUUCAAUGCACUGAUUACCACUACGGGUUCUCUCUCUCUAAUACUAUCUAGAGGUCCUAUGCAGACCAGGGGAGGGUACAGGCACAUGGGAACUUUGUGGGGCAAAGGGAAG